UCUCCAUAUAUAUAUAUAUCAUACAUAUGUGCUUAAAUGACAUGAAUAAAUCAGCAACAACAACAAAAAAACAAGACAAAGAACAAAUACAAAACCCACAAAGAUCUUCCUCCCGACAAGCUGUAGUAAUUGACGUCAACUAGUUAGCAAGGCUGAAGCAGGUACUAUAUACUGUGCUACUAGAAGAAGACAGAUUGGUACCUAUGCUAAGAGAUAGAAGAGCUUAGACAACGUCCAGAAGACCACAUAGGGAGCCACUGUCUGUGGCAACAACGUGGACUCGCUGAAGUCUUGACUCAGACAAUAAAUCUGUGAAUUUGGCAACAGUCCAAGCUCUCCAGCCAGAGCGAACAAGACAGUCGGUAUUAUGACAGCCUGCAGGUAUUUCUCCUGGCUUAGGAAGGCUUAAGAACCUAUGUCAGGGAGCAGAGUUGACCUACAGCCCUCAGCUGAAAUAGCUCUGGAGUCUACACAGCGUUCUUGCAGAGGCCGUGCAGACAAUGAAUGGCCAGAGUUGCUGUUCAGGGAACUCUUGAUGGUACUGAUACUGAAAGUGCAAAGGAUGCCAUGCUGCAGGCUGAUUCGAAUUUAGAGAUGAGCCGAAACAGAAAAGACGCUUGUUUCUUAUUGUCAGUUCUACAACAAGCAGGGGAUUUUUUUUUGGCAAGAAUUCUGCAGACAUCUCUGACCAGAAGGAGAGUUAUUAUUUCCAUUUUAUAUUUAGAGAAAUAAAGACAAAUGAAGAAAUUGA